CGUAGGUGGCGCGCUAAGUCGGGUGUGAAAUCCCGGGGCUUAACCUCGGGACUGCAUUCGAUACUGGCGUGCUUGAGGACUGGAGAGGAGACUGGAAUUCAUGGUGUAGCAGUGAAAUGCGUAGAGAUCAUGAGGAAGACCAGUGGCGAAGGCGGGUCUCUGGACAGUUCCUGACACUGAGGCACCAAGGGGCCAGGGGAAGGCAAACG
rnacentral:rRNA from 1 species